CGCAUUGUGAAAAAAAUAAUGAACACAUUCAACACAGUCAUAUACUUUAUCGUCGUCAGAAGCACUCACUCAGUUUAAAAUUUACUGCUUUCCUUCAACACUUCAAUGUGAUUUUGAUCUUCCAAAAUGAUUGGUUAGUAUGGCGAAAGGCGAAGUCAAAGGUCCGAGGCGCAAUAAAACUUUUGAUGGAACCAGAUGUUGAAAGGCAGCUGAUUAUCACGAUGAUGUUAUUUCAUACAAACAAGGCAGAAAAUAAAUUUAAAUGAAAAAAAAACUUGAUUUAUUUUAAUUUUAUGCGACACAUCCUUUUCCCAUAAGAA